GGAAGGCUGGCGCGGGCGUGAGGCUCCGCCAACCCGGUCAGGUCCGGAAGGAAGCAGCCGUAACGGAUGCACCGCGGGUCGCGUUCAGUCUUCCGCC
rnacentral:SRP_RNA from 1 species